rnacentral:rRNA from 1 species
CAAAUUUCUGACCCUAUCAACUUUCGAUGGUAGGAUAGUGGCCUACCAUGGUUUCAACGGGUAACGGGAAUUAGGGUUCUAUUCCGGAGAGGGAGCCUGAGAAACGGCUACACAUCCAAGGAAGGCAGCAGGCGCGCAAAUUACCCAAUCCCGACACGGGGAGGUAGUGACAAUAAAUACUGAUACAGGGCUCUUUUGGGUCUUGUAAUUGGAAUGAGUACAAUUUAAAUCCCUUAACGAGGAACAAUUGGAGGGCAAGUCUGGUGCCAGCAGCCGCGGUAAUUCCAGCUCCAAUAGCGUAUAUUAAAGUUGUUGCAGUUAAAAAGCUCGUAGUUGAACCUUGGGCCUGGCUGGCCGGUCCGCCUCACCGCGUGCACUGGUCCGGCCGGGCCUUUCCUUCUGGGGAGCCGCAUGCCCUUCACUGGGUGUGUCGGGGAACCAGGACUUUUACUUUGAAAAAAUUAGAGUGUUCAAAGCAGGCCUAUGCUCGAAUACAUUAGCAUGGAAUAAUAGAAUAGGACGUGUGGUUC